rnacentral:lncRNA from 1 species
UGGGGAACAAAGGGCACACGUAUACAAUUACUAAUCAAAUGGGAAUAGGGACCAUGUGUGCGUAAUGACAGUUCCGGAGGGAUCCGUGACAGCUACAUGUUUUAAAGUGGCCUUUUAUUGUCCCCAGCACAAGGUACACCUGUGUAAUGAUCAUGCUGUUUAAUUACUUUCUUGAUAUGCCACACCUGUCAGGUGGAUAGAUUAUCUCGGCAAAGGAGAAAUGCUCACUAACAGGGAUGUAAACACAUUUGUGCACAAAAUACGUUUUUUGUACGUAUGUAACAUUUCUGGGACACUUUACAUGUUGCGUUUAUAUUUUUGUUCAGUAUAGAAAGAAAAUAGAAAAAUAACAUUUGCGAGACAAGGUGAAGAAAGGAGAGAUGAGAUGAGGGAAGGAGAGAUAAGGAGAGAUAAGGUGAGGGAAGGAGAGAUAAGGAGAGAUAAGGAGAGAUAAGGAGAGAUAAGGUGAGGGAAGGAGAGAUAAGGUGAGGGAAGGAGAGAGAAGGUGAGGGAAGGAGAGAUAAGGAAAGGGAAGGAACUCUACACCUACCCCACUGGGCACGCACGGGUUUAAUAAACAUUGGUUCAACGUCAUUUGUCAACCUAUUUUGAUGUGGAAUCAACGUGGACAACACAUUUGGAUUCACAAAAAGUAAUCAACCAGCAUUGUAACCAUUGACAUUUGGGUAAAAUUUCAACUAAAAUAGAAUGACUUCUUAAACAGAUCAGAGACCAGGCUACAAUCUUGCAUCUUUAGAGCAAAGAGCUUCUUCAAAAAGAAACUCAACAUUGCUCUUAUGGUCUUAGCUGAAACAGACAACAAAAGGACAACCGUUGGAAGAACUAGGAACAAUCUACUCCUACUGUAAUUUGUAACUCUAUGCAUUCUGUGUGUUCAACUCCUCCGUGAAAGAACCAAUAGAGAUGAUGUAAACUAAAGAAAGCAUUGUUCAACUUUUUUCUCCUCUGUAGUCAACUGUAAAUAAAUUCAAUAAAAUAGUUUUUUUUUCCUGUAUUUCCAUUGUGUGG